rnacentral:lncRNA from 1 species
GAGAGUCCCCAUGGCCCCAGCAGCAAGCCCCUGCCUCUCUCCUGUCCGGCUGCUGCCCCACUCUGAGGCCCAGGUUCUCUUCUCCCAAGAGCGAGUGCGUUGGUCUAAUUGGCAAAACAUUUGAAGAGCUCCUGCACUCACAGAGUGAAACCCCAGGAAACGGAGCCCGCGAGGGAUGCCAAGCUCUCCUAAUAACAACACCUUUGUUUAUUGUGGGAUGUGGGCUGCUGUUGUGAUGCAGGAUCCAGACCUCGAGUAACCCUGUGCGAUGGCAGGCCUUCACCCUGGGACUGGCCAAGGGCCCUAGCCCCUUCAUCAGAGGUCACCCAUGACUCUCCCGCCCUCAUCCGUUUCUGCACAUUCCUCGCCAUGCCCAUCUCCCUCCUGCCCAUCCCGGAGCCCACCGGACUGCACAGCCAGCAUCAGCACAGCCUGUCCUGCUGAGUGGGGCUGCCUGCAGUCCAUGGCACGAGAUAGAGGCAGAACCUGGAGGCAGGCCGAGGUCGCCGCUACUCCUGGCCACUUCCAGACCACCCUGCCACCAUCCUCCCUUCAGUCCACGGUCCAGACUUCCUGGAAGGCACCUUGCAGCCUUCGUUUGCCGAAUUGUGAGAUGCGUUUGCUCACCGGCCUCCUCCCGCUGAGCGUCCCUGGUGUCUGACCCACCUCUGUUUCCUUCUGUAUGCACAGGUGUUUGUUGCAUGACUGAACGACAUUGAGGAGGGGACACGGCUCAGUAGAAACUUCCUUUAAGAUGCAUACAAGCUGCGGCAAAGCAAAGUGUGUUUACAAGGAGUUCCUGUGUGGGCUGGGCAGGGGCAUCAGCUGCUCUUACUGGGGGAGGAUGGUAGUGAUGCAAACACAAGAGGUAGGGUUGGCAGCCGCACCCCUUGCAACUAUCAGGGCAGCCUUGGGGCUUUCACAGGCGUGGUGAGGACCUGUCCUUGCGUGUUUCCCUCUUACCAUGUUACCAUGGAAACACACCAUGCAUGGACCUUACCCUGCGGAUAUGCCCCCUACGUGGCAAAAGGGAUGUGCGGAUGUGAAGGACCAGGAGAUGUGUGACAAUCCUGGGGGACCCAGGUGGGUCCUAAAUGUCACUUCAAGGGUCCUUUUAAGAGGAAGGCAGGUGGCCAGGCUUAUGCCUAUAAUCCCAGCACUUUGGGAGACCGAGGUGAGAGGGUCACUUGAGGCCAAGGCCAGCCUGGGCAAAAUAGCAAGACCUCGUCUCUACAGAAAAAAAUUAAAAAUUAGCCGGGCAUAGUGGCGUGCCCCUGUAGUCUCAGCUACCCGGGAGGCUGAAGCAGGAGGAUCACCUGAGCCCAGGAGAUGGGGGCUGCAGUGAAGCAUGAUGGCACCACUGCACUCCAGCCCUGCAUUCAAGCGCGGGUGACAAAGCGAGACCCAAUCUCAAAAAAGAAAAAGAGAGGGAGGCAGGAGACAGGUGUGAGGAGGGGAAGGGCUGCGAGACAGAGGCUUCGAGGAAAGCAGAAGGUCUCCAGAAGCCUGCAGAGGCCAGGAGGGAGCCUCCCAUGGGGCCUCUGGGAGGAGCCUGCUCUGCCGACGCCUAGAUGGAGCCCCUAACUCUCCUUCUGGAUUUCUGACUCUGGAGCUGUGAGAAACGAACUUCUGUUGGUUGAAGUCACGGGUUGGUGGUUAGUUAUUACAACAGAAACAGGAAACCGGUAUGUCGGGUCGCUCCCAGCCUCAAGCCCCAGCUCUAUUUUCCCAUAAAAGCUAAGUUCUCACCAUGAGGUGCUCUAGCUGCCAGGGUGGAGGAGGGGGUGUCACCCCACACUGAUUUGUGGGCCCAGGGGUGAGGACACCUCACCUGCCACCCAGAACCGGGCCCACAUCUCCCGGCGAGGCCUCCGUGGCUGCAUUGCCGGCAAUGACUAGGUGUUUUAUGCUGAACGUUGAAGAUAUUUUCCACUGGAGAUUUAACACGGAACAUCAAGAACCAUUGAAAUCACUCAUAUCAAUUGAAGAUACAAUAAUUGAACCCCAUAAAGAUUACUGAGAAGCUGGUGGAGCUAUAAGGAGAGGCAUAAAUAGAGAUAAAUUGGGCCCCCUCCACCCCCCCAGCCUCCCCCUGGAAGGAGCUCAUUAGAGAUGCUCACGGGGCCACUCAGUGACAGAGACCCACAGCAGGGAGAGGGGGGCCGGGGGGUUCCCACCACAGAGGGGCCUGAGCAGAUCCAGAAGCUUCUGUGCAUCCGUUAAUGGUCUUGAUCGGGUCCUUGGUGAAAGCGUGGAGCGAAGGGACCCAGGGGAUGACAGCUCUGUUCUCCAGCGGCCUAGGCAUCUCCUUUCCUCUAAGGGCCGCACCCCGAGCCCUGAUCUGGGCCGCACACGGAGCCCCGAUCAUAGCCAUACACUGAGUCCUAACCCAGGUCAUAAUCCAAGCCUCAUCCUAGGCAAAGUCUAAGCCAUGAUUCUGGCCCCAAACUGAGCCCUGCUCUGGUCACAGUCUGAGCUCUGACCAAGGUCACAUACUGAAGGCGGACUGUGACUGGAGGCUGAGUCCUGAGCCCUGGUGUCUCAUCUCAGGCGGGUCCAAGCUCCAGGACUGUGGGUGCUCCCAGAUGUCCACCACAUCCGCUCACGCUGCCCUCUCUCUGAGCUUCUCACAGGCCGGGCCCUGGCUGGGCUCUGCAUAUGGAAAGAAAGGCCCCCUGUCCUCAGGGCAUUUGACUCCCCGCAGGGAGGCAACACCUGAACAGUGAUAUCAGCCAAGUACUGUGGAUGACGGGAGUCCCCAGCCCGGCUCUCCCUGCCCUCCCAUGCCCAGGCCUCCAGCUCUGACCCUGAGAGCCCUCCAGCCGCCGUCUCCGCCCUCUGCCAGGCAGAUCAGAGCACUGCUCCCACCUCUGAGCGGGGCCCCUGUCCUGGUCUGCUGUGUGUAGAGGCUGAGGUCGAACAGGCUGAGCACCGGGGGCCUGGGGUGCACUCCCUGAGUGGCAGGGCAGGGCCCCCUCCAUGGGGCCUCACUCCUGCUUGUCAUGGUUCAGAAGAGCUGAACGGGGAAGCAAAAGGCACAAAGUCAGCCUGUCUGGCUUUGCAAUCUUGGCCUCCCCUCGGCUGCAUGGCACAGAGAGGUUUCUUGCCAUCUCAGAGCUUGGCCUGCCUAGCUGCAAGGGGAUGAUGACGGCAUCUGACUCCUGGGCUGUGAGUGUCAUCGGAGGGGACCCAGGCAAUCACUGACAAGUUCCCGGGGCAUGAAGCCCUCAUGAAAGGGAACACAACCAUGAUCAGGUCCUAGGAGCGCCACACUGCCCUGGACUCCAGACCCGUGAUCCUCCCAUGCUGCCCCCAGGGUCUCUCAAGGGCCCACAGCCUCCCUGCCCUGCUCUGUGCCCCCUUCCUGGGCCCUCCCGCCUGUGGACCCUUCUCCGUGCUGUUCCCUCCUCCUCUCCCAGAUCAACUCUCUAUUUCCCGGCUCCCUGGGCACAGGUGUGAGGCUAGCAGCUGUGACUGUGCAGGGUGAACGGCUGAUGCCCCAGCCACCCUCCCAGGCUCGUAAAUCUGCCCUAUUUCCCUCAAGCCGAUACUCAGCCAGGCCGCCUGCACAAUCCAAUAUAUUUCAGUUACAAGCUGGUCUAUUACCUGAUUCAUAACCGAUCUGUCAACCUGAGAAAUCAAUGCAUCCGUGGGAUGCCACAUACAUAACACCUGGUGCAUAAUUGAAUUCAGGCUCCCUGGCAUCUCAGUGCAUGGCAGGUGCUGCUGGGAACCUCAGCCCCCUCCCCUGGGACAGGGGUAGGGGCAGGGAGAACGUGCCUCCUGGCUGCGGCACCGGGGUGCAGCUCCGGAAGGACGUCUGCAGUUCUAGGCGUGGCUGGGUGAUUCGGAUCCUGGGCAUCCUUGCCAUUCUGUCUCAACUCUAUUUGAAGAGACCUCAGAGCCUUUUCACCCAGCCUCCCACACCUGAGCAGUGGGCCCCCUCUCUGCCUGCACACUCACUGCCUCUGAGCGGCCCAGCCCCCACUCUCUGCCUGCACACUCACUGCCUCUGAGCGGCCCAGCCCCCACUCUCUGCCUGCACACUCACUGCCUCUGAGCGGCCCAGCCCAUUGCAGACAGUACAGACCCACAGAGCCAAAAGUGCUGCAUUUACCAGGCCCCUCCCUAAGAUAUCAAAAUGCCAGCUACUCAGAACCUUCGGGGGAAGGUAUUAUUGGCUCAUUGUAUAAAUGAGGAGUCUGAAGUCAAGGAAACGACCUUCCUAAGUUUGAACCACCAAGCUUGAUUUGAAACCAGAGUCAGAACCCAGACCCACGACCUCUCGUGCAUCUGAGAUGAAGCCCAAGGGGCUGCUCCAGGGUGGUCAGCAGGGGCGGGGCCAGGGUGGUCAGCAGGGGCGGGGCCAGGGGCGGGGACUCCACAAACAGGAGCUUUCGGGGUCUACAGGGUCUGCAUGUGCAGGGGGCGCUGUCUCCCUCUGGUUGGUGUAUUUGUGGGGCAGAAACUCAAGUGAUUGGGCAAGACCCUGCCCGUGUCCAGCUGCCACGUGGCCUUGGGAGGUCUCCUGUCCCCUCCAGUCCACAAGGUCAUCUGAGCUCCUGGUUCCUGUGGCUGGACAUCCUCGCUGACCUCACCUCUGGCGGAUUCAGAGAGGCCAGGAGGUGCAGGCUGGGUGCCCUUGGCAGCCAAACCUUUCUGGAAGCCCAGGGCUGACUUCAGCUGGGUGCCCUUGGCACCUGGACCUUCUAGAAGCCUGGGGGCUGACUCCAGCUGGGUGCCCUCGGCACCUGGACCUUUCUGGAAGCCUGGGGGCUGACUCCGGCACCAGACACAGCUGGGGCUCCCCUCCCUCAUCCCGCCUCGCACCCUGUCAUUGAUUCUCCUUUUCAUGAUCGUGGCACCCACGAUGGAAAUGGCAUCUCAGCUCCUGCAAGGAUCUAUACCCCAAAAUAGCAAAAUAAUUCCCAUGGUGCGAGAAUGCUUCAGACAGAGGCAUGCGGGCUGGGGUUAUUGGGGCCAUGUUUCCACAUGCACCUAAUGUAUGGACACAUCUAUUCCUGGGGCCGCCAAAUCAAUCCAUGUGGAAGCCUGGGGAGCUGUGCGUCUCCCAUGUGUCAGAGCGUGGAGGGAGCGCCGGGGGUGGGGGGCAGGGGCAGAGGCCCAGAUGCUGGGUCCACCAUGGAGGCUGCCAGGUGCUGAGGGGGGUCAUUAAAUACACCCCCCACACCCCUCACUUGUGUGAAGGUCAGAGGACAAAGGACGGACAAAGGCAUCUGGUCACCUCUAAAGGGCCACACAGAUGCCUCUCACCCUCACCCCACAUCACAAAUGAGAAACUGAGGCCCGGUCAGGAAGGCAUCAGGUGGACAGGGGCCAGGACCCCAUUGCUUCAGGCUCUGUGAGUGGCUCCCUCGUGCCAACACAUGCACACAUAUGCACACACAGAGACACACAUGGACACACACACGUGCACAGACAUAUGCACACACACACAAACACGCAUAUACACAGACAUAUGGAGACACAUGGACACACACACGUGAACACACAUGCACACACACAAACACGCAUAUACACAGACACACACGGAGACACAUGGACACACACACAGGCACAUAUGUGCACAGAGACACACAUGGACACACAGGUACACACAGACACCACAAUGCAGAUAUAUGCACAUGCGCAAGGAACACGUGCAUGCACACAUACACAUGCUCACACACAUAUGCACACACAUGCACACACAUGCUCACACAUGCUCACAUACAUAUGCACACACACAUGCUCACAUACAUAUACACACACACAUGCUCACACCGAAGCAAGACACACACAAACACACACAGGCACUUACACACCGGGAAGCACUUCUCAGGGGGUUGUGGCAUCUCUGCCUCUGGUGGCCUCUCCUGCAGGGGUCUCCACUUGGUGGUGUUGGGGGCCCCACCUGAGCCCUGGCGAGACCUCGCCUCCCCUCUCCCGGCUACAGGACAUGCCAGGGCAGGGUGUGGCUUGUUCACCGAAGCAAGCCCCAGGGUGGAUGCAGGGCUCAGGGAAGCCUCUCCCAAGGGAGCACAGGCAAGCGCCCUCAGUGGGGCACAGCUGGAGCAGCGCCUCCAUGGCCACAUGGCUCUGGGGUGAAGCCCGGCUCUUGGGCUGAAGGCCCCUGGUACCUGAGGGCCUCCCAUAUUCCCAUCUGGAAAGUGGGGUUGGCAAUGAUGCCCAUCUGCACAGCCAAGCCAGUCCAACACCUGGUGCCAAGCUGGCACCAGGCACACGGGCACACAGACCCCAGAGUGGACGGUGGGAUGUGAGGGGAAGGGGGAAGGACAGGUGACAGCAGAGGCAGGCUCUGAGCCAGAGUCAUGCAGGACGCACUGCCCAGCACUCCUUUCCCCGAGCCCUAAACAGACUCACAGAAGGUCUCAGCCAAAGGGGCUCUAGAGACCGGGGGGCCCAUCUCACAGAUGGGGAAACCAAGGCCCAGGGAGAAGAGGUUCAUUCAGGAAUACGCAGCAGAUCACAGACCCUCAGAACUCGACGGGCCUCCAGGCUGCUCCCUGCCAGAUGGGAACUCGCAGAGCAGCCACGAGACAGCGGAAGGGGCAGGGGCAGGGGCAGGGGCAGGGUCUGCCGUCUUCCUCUGGGACUCGCCCCAUCUUGAGCCGAACAGAUGAAACCGUUGACAGUGAAGCCUCGCCUGGGAGGACUUCAGCUCACAGCACGUGGGCCGGCCUGAAAGGGAGGACCCAGGGAAGGGGUGCUGGGAGGGCUGGGGACCCGGCAGCUCCUGGCCGGCAUCCUCUAUGAACUGCAGCAAUUCAUUAUCCUUCCUCCAGCUGAUGAGGAUGAUCAGGAGGACAAUUAGUCUUGGAAUUACCGCGGAGGAGACCGUUAAGAGAAAAAUAAAUUAAAAAGAAAUCCAUUCGAGGUGUAAUUGUAAUACAGUGUAUCAUAGUCAAUUGAAUCACAAAUACAAGCUGGUCCCUUGUCGAUUGAUUUCAGCAAGUAAACAAUUUGGGUAUCUAAAUUGGAAACUCGCCGGGAAAAGGAGCAAUGAUUUGGUUAAAGGGAGAACUGAAAACGUCAGGCCAAAAAUUGGUUCUAGGUGUCUGGCUGCUACAGGACUGUGCAGGUGACCCUAGAUGGGAGGGAGGUCACCAGCUCCUCCCUGCCUGCAGGUCAAGGUCACCCCAUCUGGAAGCUACCUAGACCCCAGCAAUGUUACCUGACCUGUGACACCUUUGUUCCUGUGUCCUCCUCUGUGCCGCCCAUGGUGAAUGUGGCUUCUCUGUCUACAUGGAUGCACUCCCACCACACUGGGAGCUUCUGGGGCACAGGAGUCCUGCUUUACUUCCUAUGUUGAGCCCAGGUAGGUGGGGUGGGGGUGCUUAGAAGGCAGCUGUCCAGAGAGCAAAUGAAUGAAUGGGUGGAUAUGUGGGGGACAGGUGGCGAAAUGAAUGAAUGAAUGCAUAGAUAGGGGAUGGAUGGAUGGAUGAGUGGGUUGGUGGAUGGGUGGAUAGAUGGGUGGGUGGAUGGAUGGGAGCUGGAUAGGGAAUGGAUGGGUGGAUGGUAGAUGAAUGGGGGAAUUGGAUGAAUAGAUGGAUGGGUGAAUGGGGGAAAGAUGGGCAAAUGUCUGGGGAAUGGAUGGGUGAAUGGAUGGAUGGGUGGGUAGGGGAUGGAUAGAUGGAUGCAUAGAUGGGGGAUGGAUGGGGAUGGAUGAGUGGAUGGAUAGAUGGGGCUUGGAGAGAUAGAUGGACAGGUAGGUGGGUGGGUGAGUGGAUGGAUGGGGAAUGGAUGGAUAAAUGGGAGAUGGAGGGAUAGAUGGAUAAAUGGCUAGAUGGGGAGGAAUGGAUGGAUACGUGGAUGGAUAGGCAUUGGAGGGAUAGAUGGGUGGGUGGAUGGGUGGGUGGGUGGGUGGAUGGAUGGGGAAUGGGUGAAUAGAUAGGGGAUGGAAGAAUAGAUGGCUGAAUGGAUGGAUAGGUGGAUGGAUGGGGGUUAGAGGGAUAGAUGGGUGGGUGGGUGGAUUGAUGGGGAAUGGAUGAAUGGAUGGAAGGAUAGAUGGAUAAAUUGAUGAUGGGGAAGAAUGGAUGGACAGGUGGAUGGAUGGAUGGAUGGAGGUUAGAGGGAUAGAUGGGUGGGUGGAUGGAUGGGGGUAUGGGUAGAUGGAUGGGUAGAUGGAUGGGGAAUGGAUGAAUAGAUGGGGGAUGGAAGGAUAGAUGGAUAAAUGGAUGGAUGGGGAGGAAUGGAUAGAUAGGUGGAUGGAUGGAUGGGGGUUAGAGGGAUAAAUGGAUGCAUGGAUGGAUGGGGAAUGGGAGGAUGGAUGGGGGAUGGAGAGAUGCUUAAACAGACUUAAAAGACUAAGGUAUUGACAGCAGGUAGCCAUUUCUCCCCCUCUGCAAGAACUUUGGACCUGAGAUUCCAGAGCCCUUUUUAAAUCUUCCAACAAGGAAACUAUUUUGUAGCAAAAAAAAAAAAAAAAAAAAAGCAGAGUCACACCUGAGGCCUCCAGAAUUCCCUGGCUUCCUCCAUCACCCUGAAGCAGGUGGCCUCCUGUGCAAUGAAGAGGGUGCCUGAAGACCCCAGUUAGAAACAAUGCCCCAUGCGGAGGGGGUGCUGUCCUACAGGAUGGGGUGUGUGCUGAGAACGAGGGACUUAUAUCUGGAGCUCCUUCUCCCCCAGGCAGAACCUAUGGGGUGGUGUCUCUCAUGGUUACAUUCUCCACCAGUUCACAUUCCCCUUCUAGGGACUGCCCAAGAUAAUGCCCAGUGCAGGAAUGUUUCCACCAGGGGUCACAGGAAUGGCUCUGCUGCCCUGGGGGCUGAGUUGGCCACCUGUCUGGUGCCACCAAGUUAACAAGCAAAGCAGCAUGAAGGCAGUGGCUGGGGAAUCAACCCUGAUUAUCAAGGAUAGGAGGCCUGAAGAACCACAUGAAGAGAGUGCCCACAACCCAGAGGAUCUCCUGGAUACAGCUGUGUUACCAUGAUGUCCAGUGGAAGACACCACAACCCCAUUCAGGAGGGACCUCCAAGCCUGAAAGCCUCAGAGUGAUGGUUUGACUCACACCACCAGUAAAAUAACUUCCAACAAGCUGAGCAAGAAGAAAAGGGGAAUUGUGGCAAAUUGCAUUUUCCGAAAAUGGUCACCUUACCACUAUUCCAUCAAGAGGUGGUGCUAUGGUUUGAAUGUGUCCCCCAAAGUUCAUGCGCUGAAAACUUUACGUAAACACAAAUGCAAUAGUGUUGAAUGGUGGGACCUUUCAACACUAUCGCAAGGGUGAUUAGGUGCUGAUGGCUCUGCCCUCAUGAAUGGAUUGUCAUUGUUGAGGGAGUGGGUUCCUGAUGAGAGAAUGGGUACAGCCUUUCCCUCUUUCUCACAUGUGCUCUUGUCCUUCUGCCAUAAGAUCAUGGAGCAAGAAGGCUCUUGAAAGAUGCCGGUCCCUGGACCUUGGACUUCCCAGCCUCCAGAACUGUAAGAAAUAAAUCUCUGUUCGAUAUGAAGUAUUCAGUCUUGGGUAUUUGGUUAUAGUAGCACAAGCAGACUAAGACAAGCAGAGUCUCCUUCCCCUCCUCUGGAACCUAGGGAGCUUGUGACUGCUCCAACCAAGAGAAUGUGAUGGAGGUGAUGCCAUGUGACUUCUGAGGAGAAGUCAUAAAAAGGAUGCAGUUUCUGCCUGGCUCACUCUCUUGAAAUGCUCCCCCAGGAGCCAGCUGCCAUCUUGUAAGGAAGCCCAAUCCACAUGGAGAGGAAAAGUGUGGGUGUUGGAUCCUCAGCCCCAGCUUAGGUCCCAGCAGACAGCCAGCAUCAACCAGGAAGCAUGUGACUGAGUGAGGCUUCAGGUGAUUCCAGCCCCAAGCCUUUGAGCCAAACCUGGGGGGCAGGAGGCUGGCAGGGUGAGUAAGACUAGGGAUAUGUAGGGCCAAAGGGAAGAGAGGACCCAUGUUCCUGCCCUGGUCCAGGCCCUGCAUUUUCAUUUUGCACUGGGACCCCCAAAUCCUGUGGCUGCUGCUGAGCGGAAGGGACUUCUCCAGUGAGCUCCCUCGGCAGAUCCAUGGCUCAGAGCUCAAGGGGCCCAGCAGUGUCCUGGGGCCCUAAGGCCAGCAGCCGGGAAGUUCCUGGGCAGUGGGUUCCCCAAGGCACGGUCCCCACAGCUCCCACAUGAGGAGGGUGCCAGGUCCAACCCUCCCACAGCAGCCUGAGCCUCCACGCCCUGCAAGCUUGUCCAUGUCACCCUCCCGGGCAGGAUUUGAGGCAGAGGUGUGUGAUCCAUGCUGUCUCCAUCGUACCAGAGACAGCCAGCAAGGAGGGCAGGAGAGAGAGGGCCACAGACUCCUGAGCCCUGGCCUGGCACAUGAUACCCACUGGACAGACACCUCUGGUCCACUGACUAUGCACCAACGUCAUGUUCUUUCCAUCACCUAUCAGGGGAACUUUCCCCAGAAGUUCAACAAUUCUGACCUUUGGGUUCCCAUAAAUUGUGUCCAGCCUGGGAACCAGAAGACCCAUUUUCAUUCGAGCUCUGCCAUGGAGGUGCUGUACGACUUUGGGGAAGCCCAGUCUCUCUCUGGGCCUUGGCCUCUCAAGAAGGAGGGGGCUAGUGAAGGUGCACAGACGCCCUCCCUCAGUGGCCUGCUGCCUCCCGAGGUGCUACCGUGGCACUGCCCUCCCGUCCACCCCUUCUCCUAUCCUGUCCUGUCCUGGCACCAGAUGGACACCUGCCAGGUGGGCCUGUCUGGCUGCGGCUGCUUGGCUGGGACAGCGGGCAGGGCUCUCAGCCUCCUGCUGCUCCAGACAGGGGACCUGAAGGUGACUGUGACCCUUCAGUCCUGAGUGGGGAGGCCGCGUCUGGCCAGGUGGUAGCAGCUGCUGCCAAGGCAGCACUGUCCUGGCUUCCCCUCCUGCUGGCUCUCAGACUGAACUCCUCACCCCAGAACACCUGCUCCCACCCAGGGCCCACCCCGGGGAAGUGCUGACGGGGCAGGGGCUCAGGGCAGCCAGUCACAGGGCUGCAUUCCACAGUGGGCUGACCUCCCACAUAGCCUCCAAGGUCACGCAGCUCACAGAGAGCGAAGGCAGAGCCCCCAGCCUGGUCCUCCCUCCCUGGCAGCCUGGCUCAGGCAUCUCCCUGCAGGCAAGCCCCUCCUCUCCCGGCUCCAUUUCCUCAUCUGUAAACUGUGCACGUGACCCCGGCCCACGGGCUGUCUCCCAGCUGCGUAGGAGACAAUUGGGUGGUGAGCACCUGGCCCCUCCACCAUCAAUUCUCGGCCUGCCCUGCCCCCAGAGCCUCCUCCCUCAGCCUCAUCAUGAGCCUCCCAGCAAAUGCGGCCUGCCUGGACUGAGUCUGGGCUCCUCAGCCUCUGGAGCCCUCACACCUGCAGCCAGGAGGUGCCAAAUCCAAUUUGCUCCCUGACACCUCCUCGGACAUCCUGGGGCCCGCCUGCUGCAGCAGCAAAUCUGAGAAGGUGGCAGCAGCUCGGGGGCGGACCGUCUGCCCAGCUCCCCUACCUAUCACUGAGCCCAGCAGUGCUGCCUCAGUGGUGUGUUUCUCAGGCCCCUGGGAAGAAAAUUGUUGAGAAAUAGCUUCACAGAAUCUCUAAAACCCUGAAGCACCAUGUGUGGUGCUGGCUUUGUGGGGGUUUCAGGCCUUGGCGGAGGGCGUGGGGCAGGGAGAGGCUGGGGCCAUCUCCUCCCUCUGCCUGAGCAGGAACCAGCAUCUGCAGACCUAGCUGGAUGCGCGUGGAAGGGGGCGCACUGUCUCCUGGGGGGGUCACAGACUCUGCCUGCCCUGCAGGGUCUGUUGUGGGCCCCCACCCUCAGUCCUUGGCUGAGGAGGGUGCUAGGGACGCCUCAGUGCUGGCCGCUGUGCUGACGCAGCCUGGGGCAGCUGGUGAGACGCUUUGCCCUCAGUGCACUGCCCACCUGGUGCCCUCUGUGCCACGGUGGGCGGAGCAGCCACUCUGCAUGGACCCUCCUGUUCUUGGGGGUCCUACUCCCUACUCCUGGGGGAACAGGUGCAGAGAAGAGGAGCCUGGGAUUGCCAUAGAGCAGGCUGUACCCUGCCAGGGACCCCCUUCAUGCCCCCAACGUGGAGCUGGGUGGCAAGCAGCAGAGAGGCCACAGCCUGGGAGCAGCCAGGGCCAAAGCCAGCCCUUUGCUUUCGGAGUGGGAAGCUGAGGUCUCAGGAGGGGCAAGGGCUUGUCCUAGGCCCUCAGGGAGGAAGACAAACGACCUCCGCCCAUCAAGGGCUCAGUGUGGCAUUCCAGGCCACUCAGGCAGCCUCCUCCUCGGGGAAGCCCCUCUUGGUGGGGGCUGGGACAGCCCCAGGCAAGGAGCAGUGCCCUGGCUCCACGCAGCACCAAGCCAGCUUCCCACCCCUCCACCACAGCAAAGCCCCCAGCAUGCCCCUCCCCAGCUGUGAGCACAGGUUCAUGUUCAUACACAAGCUCACACACAGCCACACUCACUCCCCAGCAAGCCCCAGCCUGCCGCCUGCAGUCCUGUUGGCCUCCAUUCCCAUCCACAUCCCACCCAGGCUUCAUCUCAGGGGUCCCUGACAGGUGAAGACAGGCACGUGGCUGGAUAAGCCACAGCGGUUUAUUCGGGUGCUCAGCUGGGGCCGACACAGGGGCGAGU